CGUUCAUUACGGGCAAUCGCCCGACUUCGGUCGGAGAGGAAAGUCCGAACACCUUCCAGACAACCGGUCUGGAAAAGUGGCAGUGGGUAACCCCCACCCGGUGCAUCGUAAGAUGUAUUGCGGGAUAGCGGCACAGAGACAAUACUACCCUGGCCUCGUGUCAGGGGAAAGGUGAAAAGUGCAUGAAGGUUGUGGCUCUCGAGACCAAAGCCAUCAUGCUCACAUUGUGGUGACACAAUGUCGUGCCAAGCCCUGCCUGGUGCAAGAGCAGCCUCAUUCACGAUUGUGAAUUUGGGAAAGUUCGCUCGCACAGAGAUCAAUAGUAAUAUUGACCCUAGAUAAAUGAUUGCCUCUUUUCAACUUUUGUUGAGAAUAGACAAAAUUCGGCUUACAGUAAUGAACUAAAA
rnacentral:RNase_P_RNA from 1 species